UACGGAGGAUGCGAGCGUUAUCCGGAUUUAUUGGGUUUAAAGGGUGCGUAGGCGGCUUUUUAAGUCAGCGGUGAAAUUUUGCAGCUUAACUGUAACAGUGCCGUUGAUACUGGGGAGCUAGGAUUUGGUUGCUGUGGGUGGAAUGUGUGGUGUAGCGGUGAAAUGCUUAGAGAUCACACAGAAUACCGAUUGCGAAGGCAGCUCACAAAGCCAAGAUUGACGCUGAGGCACGAAAGUGUGGGGAUCAAACAGGAUUAGA
rnacentral:rRNA from 1 species